GCAGGCUUCCACAACAGCAGGGCCUGCCCGGUCCUGCCCCCCCAGCCAGAAGCCCCAGCCUGGGCUUCUGGCCUGGAACUAUGCGGCUGCCCUGUGCAGGAACCUCAGAUUACAACAGUUUCCUCCAACUAUGUUGAUAAAAGAUCAAGGAUAUCAGCAAAAUGAUCAGAUGCUGACAUACACCACCAAGGCUGACUGACUGCUUUUAACCCAGCGGGUGUCAACUUUUUUAGACUCAAGCACCCCAGGUUUACUUUUCACUUGUUUUUUCACUACAGAAAAAUAAUAGAGUAAUUCUUCUGGUGCAAGGAACUCAGAAAGACCACCAAAGCUUAGAAUGUUUUCAAUGGUAUGAAUUCCUAUUUGAAGUCUCUGGGUUUGUCUUGUGAAUCAUGUUUGCAUGCCCAACAGUGCUAAUGUUGCGUGGCACUUUGCAGCAAGUUUGAAAGGAUCUCAAGGAAGGCCAGAGUGCUGCAACACCUUGGCCAAGUGUAACUAUCUGAUGUUAGCAGGAGCUGAUUUGAACUAAACACAUGGAAGGACCCAAGUCUUUGGUAUGAACUUCAUGAUGAACUCCAGAUGACAGAAGCCUCGUCUUGCGAUUGUGCAGUAGGAAGGCACUGAGCUCUAAUAAAGAAAGUAUGAAUAACUUUGUAACUUCUCCAUAAUGGAUAAUCAGAGAAGAGCUGACAUGGCUGAGAAACAGGUCCAGCUGAAAACACUACCUUCAAACAGACUGUUAUUGCAGUACAGAAUGAACUGCAUGUGCUAGCAUAUCCAGGGUAGCUAGCCUGGGCAACAAAUAGCAGUGGCCCAGGCCGGUGGCAUGUACCAGCCACUACAGUACAAGGUCUCUAAGAACCCUGGGUAUAAACUCUGGUUUCUAACCAUGCUAAAGCCUGUGCCAUUAUAUUGUCAUUGCUAUUGUUCUUUGUGCUAGCUAGAUGAAUCUAACCCAGGUAUGCUAGCAGAUGCUGGAUUAAUGCAUUCAUUUUGCUGUGCAGACAUAGCCACAGACAUUCCUUUGCUGGUGUUUUACUCUCAUGCCUGAAAUUCCCUUUAUUUGUUUUAUGGCCUCACAUCAUUAUGCUUAGAUUGUCUUUGACAUGCACUUUUGAAAUAAACAUUAUUUAUGAUACCAAAAUAAAGAUCAGC